GCCCGGCUGGCACAAUUGGCUAGCGCGUGAGACUUUUAUUCAUUAAGAGAUCUCAAGGUUGAGAGUUCGAGCCUCUCGUCGGGCG